rnacentral:rRNA from 1 species
AUUGAACGCUGGCGGCAUGCUUUACACAUGCAAGUCGAACGGUAACAGCACUUCGGUGGCUGACGAGUGGCGAACGGGUGAGUAAUACAUCGGAACGUGCCUAGUAGUGGGGGAUAACUACUCGAAAGAGUAGCUAAUACCGCAUGAGAUCUAAGGAUGAAAGCAGGGGACCUUCGGGCCUUGCGCUACUAGAGCGGCUGAUGGCAGAUUAGGUAGUUGGUGGGAUAAAAGCUUACCAAGCCGACGAUCUGUAGCUGGUCUGAGAGGACGACCAGCCACACUGGGACUGAGACACGGCCCAGCCUCCUACGGGAGGCAGCAGUGGGGAAUUUUGGACAAUGGGCGCAAGCCUGAUCCAGCAAUGCCGCGUGCAGGAUGAAGGCCUUCGGGUUGUAAACUGCUUUUGUACGGAACGAAAAGCCCUCUUCUAAUACAGGAGGGUCAUGACGGUACCGUAAGAAUAAGCACCGGCUAACUACGUG